CUGGAUUCCCAGGUCUCCCCACUCAGUGAUCAGCACUGAACAUAGACCACACCAUGGAUUUGCGGCUGAUGUGGAUUUUCUUUGUUGCUCUUUUAAAAGGUGUGCAGUGUGAAGGGCAGCUGGUGGAGUCUGGUGGUGGCCUGAAACAGCCUGGGGGAUCCCUGAGACUCUCCUGUGCAGCCUCUGGAUUCACAUUCAGUAACUACUGGAUGAACUGGAUCCGGCAGGCUCCAGGGAAGGGGCUAGAGUGGGUUGGAGAAAUUAGCCCGAGUAGUGGUACAAUCAACUAUUCACCAUCCCUGAAGGAACGAUUCACCAUCUCCAGAGACAAUGCCAAGAACACUCUGUACCUGCAAAUGAGCAGUGUGAGAUCUGAGGACACUGCCACUUAUUACUGUGCAAGAGACACGGUGAGGGGACUUCAGUGA